CAUGCAAGUCGAACGGAAUUUACAUGAAGCCUAGCGAUUGUAAAUUUAGUGGCGGACGGGUGAGUAACGCGUGGGUAACCUGCCUUGUACUGGGGGACAACAGUUGGAAACGACUGCUAAUACCGCAUAAGCGCACAGCUUCGCAUGAAGCAGUGUGAAAAACUCCGGUGGUACAAGAUGGACCCGCGUCUGAUUAGCUGGUUGGUGAGGUAACGGCCCACCAAGGCGACGAUCAGUAGCCGGCCUGAGAGGGUGAACGGCCACAUUGGGACUGAGACACGGCCCAAACUCCUACGGGAGGCAGCAGUGGGGAAUAUUGCACAAUGGGGGAAACCCUGAUGCAGCAACGCCGCGUGAGUGAAGAAGUAUUUCGGUAUGUAAAGCUCUAUCAGCAGGAAAGAAAAUGACGGUACCUGACUAAGAAGCCCCGGCUAACUACGUGCCAGCAGCCGCGGUAAUACGUAGGGGGCAAGCGUUAUCCGGAUUUACUGGGUGUAAAGGGAGCGUAGACGGUUUUGCAAGUCUGAAGUGAAAGCCCGGGGCUUAACCCCGGGACUGCUUUGGAAACUGUAGGACUAGAGUGCAGGAGAGGUAAGUGGAAUUCCUAGUGUAGCGGUGAAAUGCGUAGAUAUUAGGAGGAACACCAGUGGCGAAGGCGGCUUACUGGACUGUAACUGACGUUGAGGCUCGAAAGCGUGGGGAGCAAACAGGAUUAGAUACCCUGGUAGUCCACGCCGUAAACGAUGAUUACUAGGUGUUGGUGGGUACGACCCAUCGGUGCCGCAGCAAACGCAAUAAGUAAUCCACCUGGGG
rnacentral:rRNA from 1 species